UGUACUGUAUGUACUGUGUUAUAUAGACUGUACAUAAAGAAUGGACAGUUCCAUGGUUCACAAAUGGCAACUGUUAAAAUUAGGUUGAAAAAAAAGCUAGUAUCUGGAGCCUUCCAGUGUAAAUGUUUGUCUAUUGGAUUAUUAAUGAACACCUGAUCAGUAUGUCUACUGAUCCUGAAGCUCUUUAUUUCAGAUUUUCACCCUAUCAGCUUGAAAUGUUUGCUCAAGUUAAAUCUGAUGUUCUACAGGGUUUAAAAUAUAUGUUCUGUUUUCCACCCACAGUCUUCAAAUUCAAUGCUGCAACCUGGAGCUGACAGCCAGCCUUGUCCUCACGUCUCCUUCCAGCCCAUAAUGAGAUGCAGAGACAGCAGGUGGGGGCGGGGGUGUAGCUGUCAUCCAGCAGCUGCCCCCAGGAAGACCCAGAGGUAGCUGCCAAAUUACAACGAAACUCAAACUGAAAAACGAAGGGUCUCAAUUUGUGUUCCAGUGCCAUCUGCUGGUCAUUUUCUGCAGUCAGAAAGGAGGCCUCACAAAGCAAGCUGUGUCCUGUCCUGUAGUGAUGUGGAAUGAAACAGAUGGGCGAGGGUGGAACACCAAGACUACGCCCCAGGUACACGCCCUGAAAAGACAAAACUCGCUCAACCACAGGUGAAAGAGUAAAUGUGAUUAGUUCACUCUCAGCACUCUCUCUCUCCCUCUCUCCUUCAGAGCCAAAGUUUGUGCAUGAUACUUGAAAAAUGUUUGUGUAAUGUUUCUUUGUGAAGUGAGUGCAGGAUUGGAGUUCAGUGCCUGCUCACAGCGAGUGGCACGGCACCCUGCAUUGUUGUAAAAUGGCCUUAAAAAAUGUGGUUCUGGCCAAAGGUGCACGAAUAUCUGUGCAGGUUUAUUGGCAGCCCAGGGUGUGUUCUCCUAAUUUGCCAAAAGGAAUGCCAUGGUGGUGAGGUGGGACUUUUGUUCCCUGAGAAAAUGUUCGUGCAGUUAAUACCAGAGUGAAUCACUGGUAAAGAAAGUCAAGAACACAUGAUCUCUGAGACAAAGUGCAGAAUCCUCUGGUGCAGCUGUAGGACCAUCGACCGAUACCAAAAUAUGAGAAUUCUUCUGCCCCCCCCCAGCUCCUCCCCCAGCUCCUCCCCAACCUCACCGAGUCUGUAAUUACAGAUUAUUCACUUAAUGGAAAACAACACAUUGCAGUAAAUCUUGUAUGACAAAUAAAAUGCUUCAUAAUCUUCUCCCUCAGAAUGCUCUCUUGCAUUUUCCCUUGUGUCUGCUCAUAACCCCAAAUACACACAAACUGGUUUUGGUGUUUUGUGAGCACCUCACAAUUCAUUCUAUUCAUUUCAUAGGUCCUUACUGAAAAUCUACUAUCACAACACACUUUCCUCUAAUGCUAAUCCCAAACUGUAAUCGGACUCUAAUUCUAACUCCAAAAAAUGUUUUGAACCUCAUAAUGCCCUGGAGUAAUGUGGACCUGGAAAUGUCCCCAAAAUAAACAUGUCCCCACAAGUAUACCUAUACCAGGACUCCACACACAUACACACAGGGACAUGCUACAUUUCUCAGUUGCUGCACACUUGGUUGUGUGACAGGGCGGUGCAGAUAGACCUUGCGUGAAAUGCAGCUCUUAGCAAACACAUGUUAUAAUUUAUUUUUAUUGCAGUGAUUUAUGUUUUUUGGGAUCGCCCCUGGGGUAAAGACAGCAGCCGGGGGUAGGAAAGAACUGCCCUUCUGUUCAGAUGCUUCAGUGUAGAAACAUGCUUGUAAAGUGUACCACAGUCGGUUUGGGGGCAAGGCUAAACACGCAGUGGAUUCAUAGUUGGAAUUUAAUUAGUAUAGUGGAAUUUCAUUAGUGUCGUCUCUUCUUUUACUCCUGUUGUUUCACAUGUGCUGCUGUUUUGGCAGCGAACGUUGCUGACGCAAUACCUCAGGACAGAAAACCCAACACAAAAUGUCAAACGAUACGAUAGACUCCCACGUGUCUCUCUAAGAACCAGGCGUGCUGUGGGCCAGAUGUACUAGAGAAUGAACAUUAAGUGCUAAUAGUUUUUUUUAUUUCAGAAAUGGAAAGUGCGAUCUGAUUGUGCAAUUGCAGCAAUUUGGUAACUGUCAUUCAAAGCAGAGUGAUGCAGCAGAGCAUGACGGUCGUGCAGGUGUUCAAACCAACCUG